AAGGAUCAUUACCUUUCAAUGCAGCAGAAUUGGGAUGGUUGAGUAUCUCGCCUCUCCGUUCUGCCUGUAUUCUACCCUUGUUUGUCAUAUACUAUUAUUUCCUCGGCAGGCUUGCCUGCCGAGUGAAACCAUUUAUAACCUUUUUAAUUUUCAAUCAGCGUCUGAAAAAAUUAAUAAUUACAACUUUCAACAACGGAUCUCUUGGUUCUGGCAUCGAUGAAGAACGCAGCGAAAUGCGAUAAGUAGUGUGAAUUGCAGAAUUCAGUGAAUCAUCGAAUCUUUGAACGCACAUUGCGCCCCUUGGUAUUCCAUGGGGCAUGCCUGUUCGAGCGUCAUUUGUACCUUCAAGCUUUGCUUGGUGUUGGGUGUUUGUCCCGAGGGACUCGCCUUAAAGUAAUUGGCAGCCAGUGUUUGGUUUUGAAGCGCAGCACAAGUCGCGAUUCAAGGCUACACGCCCGCUUCCACAAGCCUUUUUUUCACUUUUGACCUCGGAUCAGGUAGGGAUACCCGCUGAACUUAA
rnacentral:sRNA from 1 species